AACGAACGCUGGCGGCAUGCCUAACACAUGCAAGUCGAACGAGACCUUCGGGUCUAGUGGCGCACGGGUGCGUAACGCGUGGUAACCUGCCCUUAGGUUCGGAAUAACUCCCCGAAAGGUGUGCUAAUACCGGAUAAUGUCUUCGGACCAAAGAUUUAUCGCCUUUGGGUGGGCCCGCGUUGGCUUAGCUAGUUGGUAGGGUAAAAGCCUACCAAGGCGACGAUCCAUAGCUGGUCUGAGAGGAUGAUCAGCCACACUGGGAAUGCGACACGGCCCAGACUCCUACGGGAGGCAGCAGUGGGGAAUAUUGGACAAUGGGCGAAAGCCUGAUCCAGCAAUGCCGCGUGAGUGAUGAAGGCGUUAGGGUUGUAAAGCUCUUUUACCCGGGAUGAUAAUGACAGUACCGGGAGAAUAAGCUCCGGCUAACUCCGUG
rnacentral:rRNA from 1 species